CCUACGGGAGGCAGCAGUGGGGAAUAUUGGGCAAUGGGCGCAAGCCUGACCCAGCGACGCCGCGUGAGGGAAGACAGCCUUCGGGUUGUAAACCUCUGUUGCAGGGGAAGAAGGAAGUGACGGUACCCUGCGAGGAAGCUCCGGCUAACUACGUGCCAGCAGCCGCGGUAAUACGUAGGGAGCGAGCGUUGUCCGGAAUUACUGGGCGUAAAGGGCGCGUAGGCGGCGCUUCAAGUCGUCUGUCAAAUGGAAGGGCUUAACCCUUUAUAGCAGACGAAACUGGAGAGCUCGAGAAGCAGAGAGGCAAAUAGAAUUCCUGGUGUAGCGGUGAAAUGCGUAGAUAUCAGGAAGAAUACCAGUGGCGAAGGCGAUUUGCUGGCUGCGAACUGACGCUGAAGCGCGAAAGCCAGGGGAGCAAACGGGAUUAGAUACCCCGGUAGUCCUGGCAGUAAACGAUGUAUGCUGGGUGUGGGUCUAGCGAUAGUUCCGUGCCGAAGUUAACGCGAUAAGCAUACCGCCUGGGGAGUACGGUCGCAAGAUUGAAACUCAAAGGAAUUGACGGGGGCCCGCACAAGCGGUGGAGCACGUGGUUUAAUUCGAUGCAAACCGAAGAACCUUACCUGGACUUGACAUACAGGUAGUAGCGAAUCGAAAGAGGAGCGAGGAUGUAGCAAUACAUUCAGCCUGAACAGGUGCUGCAUGGCUGUCGUCAGCUCGUGUCGUGAGAUGUUGGGUUAAGUCCCGCAACGAGCGCAACCCCUAUUGCCGGUUGCUACCAGGUAAAGCUGAGCACUCCGGCGAGACUGCCAUCGACAAGAUGGAGGAAGGUGGGGACGACGUCAAGUCAUCAUGGCCCUUAUGUCCAGGGCGACACACAUGCUACAAUGGAUGGUACAGAGAGAAGCGAAGCCGGAAGGCCAGGCCGAUCCCAGAAAGCCAUCCCCAGUUCGGAUUGCAGUCUGCAACUCGACUGCAUGAAGUUGGAAUCGCUAGUAAUCGCGGAUCAGCCAAGCCGCGGUGAAUACGUUCCCGGGCCUUGUACACACCGCCCGUCACACCAUCCGAGUCGGGUGCUCUCAAAGCCGGAGGCCUAACCGCGAGGAAGGAUCCGCCUAAAGAGUGUCCGGUGAGGAGGGUGAAGUCGUAACAAGGUAGCCGUACGGGAACGUGCGGCUG
rnacentral:rRNA from 1 species